rnacentral:rRNA from 1 species
GACGAACGCUGGCGGCGUGCUUAACACAUGCAAGUCGAGCGGAAAGGCUCCUUCGGGGGUACUCGAGCGGCGAACGGGUGAGUAACACGUGAGUAAUCUGCCCUUGGCUUCGGGAUAGCCACCGGAAGCGGUGAUUAAUACCGGAUACGACAACUUCUCGCAUGGGAUGGUUGUGGAAAGUUUUUUCGGCCAGGGAUGUGCUCGCGGCCUAUCAGCUUGAUGGUGAGGUAAUGGCUCACCAUGGCUUCGACGGGUAGCCGGCCUGAGAGGGUGACCGGUCACACUGGGACUGAGACACGGCCCAGACUCCUACGGGAGGCAGCAGUGGGGAAUAUUGGACAAUGGGCGGAAGCCUGAUCCAGCAACGCCGCGUGAGGGAUGACGGCCUUCGGGUUGUAAACCUCUCUCGGUAGGGACGAAGCGCAAGUGACGGUACCUACUAAAGAAGCACCGGCCAACUACGUGCCAGCCGCCGCAGUAA